UACAGAGGUCUCAAGCGUUGUUCGGAUUCAUUGGGCGUAAAGGGUGCGUAGGUGGCGCGGUAAGUCGGGUGUGAAAUCUCGGAGCUUAACUCCGAAAUUGCAUUCGAUACUGCCGUGCUCGAGGACUGGAGAGGAGACUGGAAUUCAUGGUGUAGCAGUGAAAUGCGUAGAUAUCAUGAGGAAGACCAGUGGCGAAGGCGGAUCUCUGGACAGUUCCUGACACUGAGGCACGAAGGCCAGGGGAGCAAACGGG
rnacentral:rRNA from 1 species